rnacentral:rRNA from 1 species
CAGUAGCCGCGGUAAUACGUAGGUGGCAAGCGUUGUUCGGAAUUAUUGGGCGUAAAGGGUGCGUAGGCGGCCCCGCAAGUCUCAUGUGAAAUCUUCAGGCUCAACUUGAAGUCUGCAUGGGAAACUGCGGGGCUGGAGUAUGGGAGAGGUGAGUGGAAUUCCUGGUGUAGCGGUGAAAUGCGUAGAUAUCAGGAGGAACACCUGUGGCGAAAGCGGCUCACUGGACCAUAACUGACGCUGAGGCACGAAAGCUAGGGGAGCAAACAGGAUUAGAUACCCCCGUAGUCCCUGUCUCUUAUAC